AAUAUUGGACAAUGGGCGAAAGCCUGAUCCAGCCAUGCCUCGUGUGUGAAUAAGGUCUUCGUUUUGUAAAGCACUUUAUUCUGGGAGGAAGGGCAGCAAGCUAAUACCUUGCUGUUUUGACGUUACCGACAGAAUAACCACCGGCUAACUUCGUGCCAGCCGCCGCGGUAAUACGAAGCGUGCAUGGGUUAAUCGGAAUUACUGGGCGUAAAGGGGGCGUGGGUGGUUUGUUAAGUUGGAAGUGAAAGCCCCGGGCUAAACCUGGGAAUUGCUUUCAAAACUGGGAAGCUAGAGUAUGGCAGAGGGUGGUGGAAUUUCCUGUGUGGCGGUGAAAUGCGUAGAUAUAGGAAGGAACACCAGUGGCGAAGGCGACCACCUGGGCUAAUGCUGACACUGAGGUGCGAAAGCGUGGGGAGCAAAC
rnacentral:rRNA from 1 species